GUUUAUUCGUUGAAAUUGCUGCCCAUUAAUCGACGAUGAUGAAGAAGAAAAUAAAGAAGACGAAUAUGAAUAAGAAUGACAAUGUAUUGAAGAAAGGGGCGCCAUUUUUCUGCGACUAUAUCUCUAAUAUUCCUUCUAGUGUGGGAAAAAAAUUAUUGGAGAUGAAUAAGGUGGAAGAAGAAUUAAGCUUUCUGAUGGAGGUAAUGGUGAAGAGAAUUUCUGAUGGAGGUAAUGGUGAAGAGAAUUCCCAGAAAUGCUAAAACAGCUUCGGAAGCAUCGAGGGGUGAGGCCCUUGAGAUCUCCGAAAGGCUGCCAACUACCACAGUUUUUUCCCUUUAAUCUUCAGUAGUUUGACAAAGAAGACAAAGUGAACAAGAAUUU
rnacentral:misc_RNA from 1 species